UACAUGCUGACGAGUGGCGCACGGGUGCGUAACACGUAUGCAACCUACCCACCACCGGGGGAUAACCCUGAGAAAUUAGGGCUAAUACCCCAUGGUAUCGAGAAACGGCAUCGUUUUUUGAUUAAAGAUUGAUCGGUGAUGGAUGGGCAUGCGCCCCAUUAGCUAGUUGGUGAGGUAACGGCUCACCAAGGCGACGAUGGGUAGGGGACCUGAGAGGGUUAUCCCCCACACUGGUACUGAGACACGGACCAGACUCCUACGGGAGGCGGCAGUGAGGAAUAUUGGUCAAUGGGCGCAAGCCUGAACCAGCCAUCCCGCGUGCAGGAAGACUGCCCUAUGGGUUGUAAACUGCUUUUUCAGGGGGAGAAACACUUCGACGUGUCGGAGCUUGACGGUACCCUGAGAAUAAGCAUCGGCUAACUCCGUGCCAGCAGCCGCGGUAAUACGGAGGAUGCGAGCGUUAUCCGGAUUUAUUGGGUUUAAAGGGUGCGUAGGCGGAUUAAUAAGUCAGUGGUGAAAAUCUGCAGCUUAACUGUAGACUUGCCGUUGAUACUGUUAGUCUUGAGUAUGGUCAAGGUAGGCGGAAUGUGUAAUGUAGCGGUGAAAUGCUUAGAUAUUACACAGAACACCGAUUGCGAAGGCAGCUUUCUGGGCCAUUACUGACGCUGAUGCACGAAAGCGUGGGUAGCGAACAGGAUUAGAUACCCUGGUAGUCCACGCCGUAAACGAUGAUCACUCGCUGUUGGCGAUACACAGUCAGCGGCUAAGCAAAAGCAUUAAGUGAUCCACCUGGGGAGUACGGCCGCAAGGCUGAAACUCAAAGGAAUUGACGGGGGCCCGCACAAGCGGAGGAACAUGUGGUUUAAUUCGAUGAUACGCGAGGAACCUUACCUGGGCUUAAAUGUAGAGUGCAUGUAGUGGAAACACUGCUUCCCUUCGGGGCUCUUUGCAAGGUGCUGCAUGGUUGUCGUCAGCUCGUGCCGUGAG
rnacentral:rRNA from 1 species